GGGGAUGUAGCUCAGCUGGCCAGAGCGCCGGUUUUGCAAGCCGGAGGCCGCAGGUUCGAAGCCUGUCAUCUCCA
rnacentral:tRNA from 1 species